rnacentral:rRNA from 1 species
GCAGCGNCGCCGCGUGAGGGAUGACGGCCUUCGGGUUGUAAACCUCUUUCAGCACNNNNNNNGNGAAAGUGACGGUACGUGCAGAAGAAGCGCCGGCUAACUACGUGCCAGCAGCCGCGGUAAUACGUAGGGCGCAAGCGUUGUCCGGAAUUAUUGGGCGUAAAGAGCUCGUAGGCGGUUUGUCGCGUCUGCUGUGAAAGCCCGGGGCUUAACCCCGGGUGUGCAGUGGGUACGGGCAGACUUGAGUGCAGUAGGGGAGACUGGAAUUCCUGGUGUAGCGGUGAAAUGCGCAGAUAUCAGGAGGAACACCGAUGGCGAAGGCAGGUCUCUGGGCUGUUACUGACGCUGAGGAGCGAAAGCAUGGGGAGCGAACAGGAUUAGAUACCCUGGUAGUCCAUGCCGUAAACGUUGGGCACUAGGUGUGGGGAACAUUCCACGUUUUCCGCGCCGUAGCUAACGCAUUAAGUGCCCCGCCUGGGGAGUACGGCCGCAAGGCUAAAACUCAAAGGAAUUGACGGGGGCCCGCACAAGCGGCGGAGCAUGCGGAUUAAUUCGAUGCAACGCGAAGAACCUUACCAAGGCUUGACAUACACCGGACCGGGCCAGAGAUGGUCUUUCCCCCUUGUGGGGCUGGUGUACAGGUGGUGCAUGGUUGUCGUCAGCUCGUGUCGUGAGAUGUUGGGUUAAGUCCCGCAACGAGCGCAACCCUCGUUCUAUGUUGCCAGCACGUGAUGGUGGGGACUCAUAGGAGACUGCCGGGGUCAACUCGGAGGAAGGUGGGGGAUGACGUCAAAUCAUCAUGCCCCUUA